rnacentral:rRNA from 1 species
UACGUAGGGGGCAAGCGUUGUCCGGAUUUAUUGGGCGUAAAGAGCGUGUAGGCGGCCAGAUAGGUCAGCUGUGAAAACUCGAGGCUCAACCUCGAGACGUCGGUUGAAACCAUCUGGCUAGAGUCCGGAAGAGGAGAGUGGAAUUCCCGGUGUAGCGGUGAAAUGCGCAAAUAUCGGGAAGAACACCCGUGGCGAAGGCGGCUCUCUGGGACGGUACUGACGCUGAGACGCGAAAGCGUGGGGAGCGAACAGG